GAACCGGUAGCUCAGUGGUAGAGCCGUUGAUUUUUAAUCAACAGGUCGUGGGUUCGAACCCCACUCGGUUCU
rnacentral:tRNA from 1 species